rnacentral:rRNA from 1 species
CUAGCUGUAAACGAUGGAUACUAGGCGUUGAGAGUAUCGACCCUCUCAGUGUCGUAGCUAACGCGUUAAGUAUCCCGCCUGGGGAGUACGCGCGCAAGCGUGAAACUCAAAGGAAUUGACGGGGGCCCGCACAAGCGGUGGAGUAUGUGGUUUAAUUCGAUGCAAUGCGAAGAACCUUACCAGGGCUUGACAUGUCCGGAACCCCGCCCAAAGGCGGGGGUGCCUACGGGAACCGGAACACAGGUGGUGC